ACAAAUAUGGGGAUUUAAUUUUAAAUUUUGUACAGCUGACAGCUGACCAUAGAUAACCUAACCUGUUUGUUGAUAUUUACAUAACCGUUACAGUCGGAGCCGGAAACUUUCUGAUUUUUAUUCGACUUAUUACACUAAUUAAAUGAGACCAUUGAUAUUGAUACUUUGAAAGCAAUCUGAUGAUGACAUGCAUUAAGAGUUCUUCUUUUGGGUACAUCAAACUUUCCAUUUUCCAAAAAUAAAAGUAAUAUUAGAUGAUCGAAAUACUCGAAAAUCUGGAGCAUUCUCAAAUAACAAAACUAAAAUUUUAAAUGAUAAUCAAAUGUGAUUUAAACCAAUACAUUUUAUUGAGGAGUA